GCCCCGCCAGCCCUCCUCACCUUCCCGGGCUUCCCGCGCCCCGACCGGCCGCUCCCCCGGCCCGCGGCUCAGCGACCAGCUCCGCCGCGCGCGGCCCCUCGGCGCCUCUCCCCGCGGGCCGCCGGCCGGGCCCGGGAGGCUCACUUCGCCCUCACCUGGGGCGCGCACGGGUCCCCUCCCCUCGCCGGCCCGCGGCGGUCGGGAGCUGGCGCCCUCUGCCGGGCCACCGCGCCGGAGCACCCGGGACCCCGGGGACGGGCGGCCAGGCAGGGACGGCGCCCCCGCCGAGGUCACCUGCUGCCAGCCCGGCCUGCGGCCAGGUCCGGGCCGAGGGACCCAGCUGUGCCAACGCCCGGGCCCCGCGCCCCCCAGGAAGGCGCCAAGGAGGCCGGCAGCCCGGGCGCACCCGGCUUUCCAGCUUAACGUGUCCGUGUGGGAAGCCGCCUGACUCGAGGGAGGGUGCCCUUGCUCGUUGGCCCCCAGCACAGCGUUGCUGCCCACCUGCCGAUUGUCUGCAGGCCACAGCGAGGCCGGGUACUCUGAGGAGUUCCCGGGUGAUGCGCAGCAGUAUUGGAGACAACACAAGGCUGUCACGAAGCCACUGAGCUGCCCAGGCUGGGCUUGAACUUGCCGUCGUCCUGCCUCAGCCUCCCAGGGUGCUGAGAUCACAGCCUGGGCCGCCACGCCCGACAAGGGGGAACGACACCUUCUGACUUCUUCUAACUCAGAGCCAAGCCUCCCCCGACACGCCAGUCGGGGGCUACCGAUUGUCACGGCACUGCAGACCCCCUGUGUCCACAGCUGCGUUCUUCCCCGUCUGAGUGGACAGCACAGACAGCGACGGUGCUGCCUGCCGGGCCCAUAGGAAGCACAGAGCCCU
ensembl:lncRNA